rnacentral:tRNA from 1 species
GGCGAGAUUUUCGAGCGGUCUAAGGCGCUGGUUUUAGGCACCAGUCUCUUCGGAGGCGUGGGUUCGAAUCCCACUCUCGUCA